GCACUUUUGUGCCGUUGUAUGUCUGAAGUUAGGGUCCUGAGAAACGAUGCUUAAGUCUUCUGGAAAGGAGCGCCAUGGAGGGUGAUAGCCCCGUCUAGCAUUGACCUCAUAUAGGAUCUUAACAUGGAGUCGAGUUGUUUGGGAAUGCAGCUCAAAUGGGUGGUAUGCUCCAUCUAAAGCUAAAUAUCUGCGAGAGACCGAUAGUAAACAAGGUACUGUGACGGGAAAGA
rnacentral:rRNA from 1 species